rnacentral:rRNA from 1 species
UACGAAGGGGGCUAGCGUUGCUCGGAUUUACUGGGCGUAAAGGGCGCGUAGGCGGAUCAGCAAGUUGGGGGUGAAAGCUUGGAGCUCAACCUCGGAACUGCCUUCAAAACUGUUGAUCUUGAGUAUGAGAGAGGUGUGUGGAACUCCGAGUGUAGAGGUGAAAUUCGUAGAUAUUCCGAAGAACACCAGUGGCGAAGGCGACACACUGGCUCAUUACUGACGCUGAGGCGCGAAAGCGUGGGGAGCAAACAGG